ACUAAGCGUACACGGUGGAUGCCCUGGCAGUCAGAGGCGAUGAAGGACGUGCUAAUCUGCGAUAAGCGUCGGUAAGGUGAUAUGAACCGUUAUAACCGGCGAUUUCCGAAUGGGGAAACCCAGUGUGWUUCGWCACACUAUCAUUAACUGAAUCCAUAGGUUAAUGAGGCGAACCGRGGGAACUGAAACAUCUAAGUACCCCGAGGAAAAGAAAUCAACCGAGAUUCCCCCAGUAGCGGCGAGCGAACGGGGAGSAGCCCAGAGCCUGAAUCAGUGUGUGUGUUAGUGGAAGCGUCUGGAAAGGCGCGCGAUACAGGGUGACAGCCCCGUACACAAAAAUGCACAUGCUGUGAGCUCGAUGAGUAGGGCGGGACACGUGGUAUCCUGUCUGAAUAUGGGGGGACCAUCCUCCAAGGCUAAAUACUCCUGACUGACCGAUAGUGAACCAGUACCGUGAGGGAAAGGCGAAAAGAACCCCGGCGAGGGGAGUGAAAAAGAACCUGAAACCGUGUACGUACAAGCAGUGGGAGCACGCUUAGGCGUGUGACUGCGUACCUUUUGUAUAAUGGGUCAGCGACUUAUAUUCUGUAGCAAGGUUAACCGAAUAGGGGAGCCGAAGGGAAACCGAGUCUUAACUGGGCGUUAAGUUGCAGGGUAUAGACCCGAAACCCGGUGAUCUAGCCAUGGGCAGGUUGAAGGUUGGGUAACACUAACUGGAGGACCGAACCGACUAAUGUUGAAAAAUUAGCGGAUGACUUGUGGCUGGGGGUGAAAGGCCAAUCAAACCGGGAGAUAGCUGGUUCUCCCCGAAAGCUAUUUAGGUAGCGCCUCGUGAAYUCAUCUCCGGGGGUAGAGCACUGUUUCGGCAAGGGGGUCAUCCCGACUUACCAACCCGAUGCAAACUGCGAAUACCGGAGAAUGUUAUCACGGGAGACACACGGCGGGUGCUAACGUCCGUCGUGAAGAGGGAAACAACCCAGACCGCCAGCUAAGGUCCCAAAGUCAUGGUUAAGUGGGAAACGAUGUGGGAAGGCCCAGACAGCCAGGAUGUUGGCUUAGAAGCAGCCAUCAUUUAAAGAAAGCGUAAUAGCUCACUGGUCGAGUCGGCCUGCGCGGAAGAUGUAACGGGGCUAAACCAUGCACCGAAGCUGCGGCAGCGACGCUKAUGCGUUGUUGGGUAGGGGAGCGUUCUGUAAGCCUGYGAAGGUGUGCUGUGAGGCAURCUGGAGGUAUCAGAAGUGCGAAUGCUGACAUAAGUAACGAUAAAGCGGGUGAAAAGCCCGCUCGCCGGAAGACCAAGGGUUCCUGUCCAACGUUAAUCGGGGCAGGGUGAGUCGACCCCUAAGGCGAGGCCGAAAGGCGUAGUCGAUGGGAAACAGGUUAAUAUUCCUGUACUUGGUGUUACUGCGAAGGGGGGACGGAGAAGGCUAUGUUGGCCGGGCGACGGUUGUCCCGGUUUAAGCGUGUAGGCUGGUUUUCCAGGCAAAUCCGGAAAAUCAAGGCUGAGRCGUGAUGACGAGGCACUACGGUGCUGAAGCAACAAAUGCCCUGCUUCCAGGAAAAGCCUCUAAGCAUCAGGUAACAUCAAAUCGUACCCCAAACCGACACAGGUGGUCAGGUAGAGAAUACCAAGGCGCUUGAGAGAACUCGGGUGAAGGAACUAGGCAAAAUGGUGCCGUAACUUCGGGAGAAGGCACGCUGAUAUGUAGGUGAAGUCCCUCGCGGAUGGAGCUGAAAUCAGUCGAAGAUACCAGCUGGCUGCAACUGUUUAUUAAAAACACAGCACUGUGCAAACACGAAAGUGGACGUAUACGGUGUGACGCCUGCCCGGUGCCGGAAGGUUAAUUGAUGGGGUUAGCCGCAAGGCGAAGCUCUUGAUCGAAGCCCCGGUAAACGGCGGCCGUAACUAUAACGGUCCUAAGGUAGCGAAAUUCCUUGUCGGGUAAGUUCCGACCUGCACGAAUGGCGUAAUGAUGGCCAGGCUGUCUCCACCCGAGACUCAGUGAAAUUGAACUCGCUGUGAAGAUGCAGUGUACCCGCGGCAAGACGGAAAGACCCCGUGAACCUUUACUAUAGCUUGACACUGAACAUUGAGCCUUGAUGUGUAGGAUAGGUGGGAGGCUUUGAAGUGUGGACGCCAGUCUGCAUGGAGCCGACCUUGAAAUACCACCCUUUAAUGUUUGAUGUUCUAACGUUGACCCGUAAUCCGGGUUGCGGACAGUGUCUGGUGGGUAGUUUGACUGGGGCGGUCUCCUCCUAAAGAGUAACGGAGGAGCACGAAGGUUGGCUAAUCCUGGUCGGACAUCAGGAGGUUAGUGCAAUGGCAUAAGCCAGCUUGACUGCGAGCGUGACGGCGCGAGCAGGUGCGAAAGCAGGUCAUAGUGAUCCGGUGGUUCUGAAUGGAAGGGCCAUCGCUCAACGGAUAAAAGGUACUCCGGGGAUAACAGGCUGAUACCGCCCAAGAGUUCAUAUCGACGGCGGUGUUUGGCACCUCGAUGUCGGCUCAUCACAUCCUGGGGCUGAAGUAGGUCCCAAGGGUAUGGCUGUUCGCCAUUUAAAGUGGUACGCGAGCUGGGUUUAGAACGUCGUGAGACAGUUCGGUCCCUAUCUGCCGUGGGCGCUGGAGAACUGAGGGGGGCUGCUCCUAGUACGAGAGGACCGGAGUGGACGCAUCACUGGUGUUCGGGUUGUCAUGCCAAUGGCACUGCCCGGUAGCUAAAUGCGGAAGAGAUAAGUGCUGAAAGCAUCUAAGCACGAAACUUGCCCCGAGAUGAGUUCUCCCUGACYCYUURAGRGUCCUGAAGGAACGUUGAAGACGACGACGUUGAUAGGCCGGGUGUGUAAGCGCAGCGAUGCGUUGAGCUAACCGGUACUAAUGAACCGUGAGGCUUAACC
rnacentral:rRNA from 1 species